AAAAUUAAAUCAAAACCUCCCUUUUUAACCGGUUAUUUCCCAAUUAAAAAAAUUUAAAGAAAGAAAUAAUUCACUGAUUUCAAUUAAUUUAAACUUUUCUCUAAAUCUUUCUUCUUAACCACGAAAACCCUAACUAUUUUCCCAUAACUUCCCUUUACAAUCUUCAUCAACCAACCUCUAUCCUCUGCCAAUUAACCAUCGUCGAGCUCUCACCAUCUUCAAUUUUCCACCAUGAAUCCGCAAAGCGCUCUUGUCAUUGAACUCGUGGGAGCAGUAUUGUGUAAUUUCAGCUCGAGAUAUGGUUUUUGGAUAUCAGGGAAAAGUUCUAAUAGCUUGGGAUGUCAGGGAUAAGUUCCAAUUGUUUGGGAUAUCAGGUAUAUGUUCUAUUGUUUCGGGGCUUCAAUGAUUCAUGAUUCCAAUGAAGAUAUAUUCAUAUGUUAUCUUUUGGUUCUGAAGUAAGAUGUGGUAGAUACACAUGGUUUUGGAUCAAUAGUAAUUGGUUUUUGGACUUUCUACUAUAUUUUAUGUUAUCGGAUACAGAGGUAAAGAGAUGCGGUGUUUUGUCUUGUGUAUGUUAAUGAGAGUGGUGGUACUAAGAUUUGUCCCUUUUGAAAGAGGGAAGAAUUGCUAUCUGUCUCCCAUAUUUACACAUCUUUUACUCCUAGAUUAUGCCAUCAGUUAGAGUUUUUAAUGGCAUUUGGUUUUGGCACAGAGUAUCAUUCUUCAAGUAUUAUGUUGGUCUAAUGGUUUUUCUGUAAUCAGGGGCUGUAUUGUUCUUUUUGUUACAUUUAUGUUGUAGUGACAGGGGCUUCUGCUAAUACACAAUACUAUUUACACGUACACAAUAGGGAGACAUAGGUCUGGUGUAUGAGGGAGUUUCCGAUUUUCUUUUUCUCUGAUGAUCUAAUAUGAAUCACCUGAUAUAGAUUUAUGAACAUGCCUCAGGUCGUGUAUAGGUUUAUGAUAAAGGUUGUUAUGUGAUGUUUUGUAUUGCACUGCUCUUAGAUUUUUAGUUUGAUAUCUUCUAUGAGUUUUAGGAUGUGAUCGAUUUUUCCCUCAUGAUCUCUUCGUCAAUGUUCGGAGUGAUCUCGGUUCGUCUUCGUUUGCCUUGUUGCUGUUUUGCCUUGUUGUUGAUCCAAGGAUUUUAGUUUGUUGCUACUACAAUUACAGUUGCUUAUACUCUUAGUGUAGAAUAUAAAUGUAUAGUACUUUAUUGCUGUUGCACGUAAUGAACAAGAUGAGUCAAGCACUACAGUUUGAGCUUAGCUUGUUCACUUGCCGAGCUUGAGAUUCUUGUUUGUGUUUUAUUUUCUUAACGAGUGACUCUUGACCUAGCUUGUUUUCUGGGGAUGGUUCGAAGAUUUUCCUGCUCCAAAUGACAUAUAGAUUUUAGGAAGAGAGGGUAGAUUCUGAAAGAGAAUACUUGGUUCUUUGCAAUAUGUUUAUAGGUGUGUAUUGUCUUUUAAUUUUAGAUGUGCAUCAUUUGGUUUUAUGAAGGUUUUUUGAAGUUGGUUGAUAAGAUAGGCUUAGUUUGAAGUUGUUUGAAAAGAUGGUGCAUUAUCUUUCCCCUUACCAAAGCUGCCUAAUUUAUCAAAUAUCCUAUCAAAAUAUAAAUUUAGAAACUAAGCUAUCUUUCCCCAUGCCAAAGCUAGCUAAUUUAUUCUCUGGGGCUAAGCUGUAUAUUUGAAGGAAUUAAUUUUGGUGCUACGUUUCGCAGUUGGAGGAUAAAUUCCUCACAUGCUUUCAAAAUUUCUAAUUGACUUUCCUCACAGAGGUUUCUUACAGGUCAACUUUUGCAAAAACAUCACCAACACAAAACCAGUGAUCAAUGGAGCAACUCACUUGAACAAUCCUUGUAGCAGACUGAGUUCUAUAACCAACAGAACACCAACCACAUAACUGACUGCAACAUAAAACAAGCACUAAACAAGAAGAAUACUUUUGUGCUUGGCAUGCAAAGAAGUUUCUAUAAGGACGUGAAAUAAAAUGGUAAAGCAUGCUAAUGAAUGCUAUCUGGACUAUACAUACUAUAGUUACUGUAAUGAAGUGGAGAGUGCUCAGCUCCUUGUUCUACUGUGUCUACAAAAUCGUAGCUGUGAAGUUUAAAUGUCAAGAUUAUUAGCCUGCCGAUGCUGUUGAUGUUUGCCAAAAGGCUCUGGUGGAGAAGUUGAAGCAGUUUGUAUUCUUGAUUGUGAAUAGGCCAGCUGGUUCCAGUUAACAAUCCGUAAGCUAUAUCUACUUCAAUGCAACCAACCUUUAAACAACAUGUCCACUAUUCUAGUCUGAAGCUGGAAUUACAGCAUGACGCUCUUUCGAUUAUAGAUCAAGGGAUCAUAUGAAUAUUGCAAGAACUCCUAUUGGUUAAAGGAACUGCUAUUCUAGGAAAUCUGGCAGUCCAUGCUUCUCGAUUGACAAAAAGGCUCUGGUAUAACUGUCUUCAGAAAGUGAUGGAGAUAUGAAUGCAUUUCUUCAUGUUAAUCUUGUUCUGAUGCAACUUUGUAGACGAUUCUUCAUGAAAUAUCUCGUAAAUCUUAGACAAUGCAGAUGCAGCAUCUCGACUUGACAGUAUCAGUCUCCUUAGAUUGUUUCCAAGAUUUCUCAGACUGCUUUGGAGGAGAUAAUAGGGAAGAACUGUGAAAAACCAUCGCCAUUUCUCAUAGUAAUAGUUUUUUUUGUUAUUGUUUUUUAAUUCACAACUCUUCAUGGUUGAUUUAUUUACAUGUCUUCUUGGUUGUUAACAUUUGUAUAAUAUUUUUUCGAAUUAAUGAAAGAUUUGGAUUGUGUUGGUA